rnacentral:tRNA from 1 species
GGCGGGAUGGUGGAAUUGGUAUACACGGGUGAUUCAAAAUCACCUGCCGAAAGGCUUAGGGGUUCGAGUCCCCUUCCCGCUACCA